UACGUAGGUGGCAAGCGUUGUCCGGAUUUAUUGGGUUUAAAGGGUGCGUAGGCGGUUGUAUAAGUCAGUGCUGAAAUAUCCCGGCUUAACCGGGAGGGUGGCAUUGAUACUGUACGACUUGAGUAAAGUUGAGGUUGGCGGAAUUGACGGUGUAGCGGUGAAAUGCUUAGAUAUCGUCAAGAACACCGAUUGCGAAGGCAGCUAACUAAGCUUUAACUGACGCUGAGGCACGAAAGUGUGGGGAUCAAACAGG
rnacentral:rRNA from 1 species